AAGCCUGAUGCAGCCAUGCCGCGUGUAUGAAGAAGGCCUUCGGGUUGUAAAGUACUUUCAGCGGGGAGGAAGGGAGUAAAGUUAAUACCUUUGCUCAUUGACGUUACCCUGCCAGAGAGACCGCCGGCUAACUCCGUGCCAGCAGCCGCGGUAAUA
rnacentral:rRNA from 1 species